CGUAUACCCGUUUUUAACGCGCUUUCCCUAUUCCUGUAUCCUAUUUUCUGAUUUCUCUCUCUCUCUCUUCUAUCUCUCUCCCUCUGGAUUAUCUCUCCAUACCCGGUCUCUCCACUCUCCACUCACGAGCGUCUCUCUCUCUCUCCACUCACGAGACUCUGUUCUAGAGUUUCUUUUUCCGAUCCACUCUCUGUCUCCGAUUCGAGCAGGGAGCACGGCGCUGAGAAGAACUUUCGAUCCACUCUCUCUGUCUCCGAUCCAAGCACGGCGAGAAGAACUCCGAUCCAAGCACGCCGAGAAGAACGCCGAUCCAAACACGCCGAUCCGCCACAAGCGCCGAUCCACUCUCUCUGUCUCCGAUCCAAGCACGGCGAGAAGAACGCCGAUCCAAGCACUCCGAUCCAAGCACGCCGAUCUGCCGAGAAGAACUUCGAUCCACUCUCUCUGUCUCCGUUGGUGUGUCCGUGUGUGGGUGUGUUUGGUUUUGUGGUGUUUCUGGGUGAUUUUGUUGUUGAUUUUGUGGUUGAUUUUUGAUUUUUGUGGUUGAUUUUUGAUUUUGACUGUGGGAGUGUGUGUAUAAGAGGAAGAAGCAGUUGAUGAUGAUGGUGGUGUUGGUUGUGCAGAUGAAGAGAGAGAAAAAAACGAGCGAAAUUAGAAAUUAUUAUAAUAAUGUAUACACGAGCUACAGUAACCGUGUAUAUAUGCACGGUUACUGUAGCUCAUGGAAAUUUUUAGAUGAUUUUACACAGGUUUACAUGAGCUGA